AAAAACACCCUUAAGCUUUCCCCGUUCAGAAACUUCCCAGAUUCACCAUGUCUGACAAGUGCGGCAACUGCGACUGCUCCGACAGCAGCCAGUGCACGAAGAAGGGAAACACCUUCGUCAUUGAGACUGAGAAGAGGUA